AGAGUUUGAUUAUGGCUCAGGAUGAACGCUAGCGACAGGCUUAACACAUGCAAGUCGAGGGGCAGCAUAAAAGUAGCAAGUACUUGGUGGCGACCGGCGCACGGGUGAGUAACGCGUAUGCAACCUACCUAUCAGAGGGAAUAACCCGGCGAAAGUCGGACUAAUACCGCAUAAAACAGGGACACCGCAUGGUGAUAUUUGUUAAAGAAAUUCGCUGAUAGAUGGGCAUGCGUUCCAUUAGGUAGUUGGUGAGGUAACGGCUCACCAAGCCGACGAUGGAUAGGGGAACUGAGAGGUUGGUCCCCCACACUGGUACUGAGACACGGACCAGACUCCUACGGGAGGCAGCAGUGAGGAAUAUUGGUCAAUGGGCGAGAGCCUGAACCAGCCAAGUCGCGUGAAGGAAAGAAGGAUCUAUGGUUCGUAAACUUCUUUUGCAGGGGAAUAAAGUGCAGGACGUGUCCUGUUUUGUAUGUACCCCUGAGAAUAAGGAUCGGCUAACUCCGUGCCAGCAGCUGC
rnacentral:rRNA from 1 species